UACGUAGGGUGCAAGCGUUAAUCGGAAUUACUGGGCGUAAAGCGUGCGCAGGCGGUCUUGCAAGACAGGUGUGAAAUCCCCGGGCUUAACCUGGGAACUGCACUUGUGACUGCAAGGCUGGAGUACGGCAGAGGGGAUGGAAUUCCGCGUGUAGCAGUGAAAUGCGUAGAUAUGCGGAGGAACACCGAUGGCGAAGGCAAUCCCCUGGGCCUGUACUGACGCUCAUGCACGAAAGCGUGGGGAGCAAACAGG
rnacentral:rRNA from 1 species